AUGAUAAUUAGUUUAAGCCAAAAANCAAAUGAUUUCGAC
rnacentral:tRNA from 1 species